UUUGUGCAAAGCAAUUUUCCAUUACAGGAGAACUGAACAGAAGUUGAAACGCGAGGCCCAGUGCCCUGAUGCUGGCUUGGUGGCUCUGCCUCUUGCUCAGUCCGGAGUGCUGUUGGAAGCUUGCCCACUUGGCGGCUUUGAAAGGUCUCACCCUUCCCCUGCCUUUGUAAGUGAAGGGGAGCCAGGGGAGAGCCACAUGACAAUGAGGUCGCCAGUUGACACUUUUGUGAUGUCAGCAGCCUCAGGAGACUGCCAGGCAGAAGGAAAGGCUUCUCAGCUCUUCUGGGAGUUUGGGGGUGUUUUGUGUAUGUAGGUGUUCAUAUCUAAAGAAGUAUGAGAGCCACUUAGGACAUACAGUUCACCCCAGACUUUGAUGUUGCCCAGCCCUUCUCCAACAGAGUCCUCUCAGGGAGCCUGGGACCGUGGGGCGGUGCCGAGAAAAGCAGGUGAAAACAAGUAAGGAUCAAGAUGAAACUCCUUCUCCACUCUCAGCUCCUUCUCCAGUACCAUGUCUGCCUGCAUGCCACCAUGUCCUGCUAUGAUGAUAAUGGACCAAAACUCUGGAACUGUGCUUACAUUUGAAUAACCUGCAUAUGGAUUUCAAUGUUAUUUAACUGAGUUUUACCUGUAAGAUGUGUAUUUAAUACUCAGAGAAAACUCUUGUUCUCUCUGAGGAUAAACAGGAAAUUCAUUUAAUUAAAUAUUCAGAGCCACCAGAUCUACCUAGACCCAGAUACCUAUUCAUCUGUUAGCUGCGAGGAGAGGAAAAGCAUCUCCUCCGGGGAGCUUCUUCAUGGCUCCCUGCCUCUGCUCAGCGGGCAGUGAAUCACUGCUGUCAUGUAUGCUGAGUCUAUGCGCGACAAUGUCGACAGAGCCCAUAGUCCACCAAGGCUGUGCUGCUGCAGGCCCUUUCAAGUUUGGACCUCCCUUCUCCAUCUCACUGUUUCCCUCCAAAGGUGAUUGCUCGCUGCUCUGACCUUAUUAGCUGUCCUUCACCGUUGUCUCUCUGUAUCCUCUGCUGGUUCCACACAUUCUAAUCAUAAGACCCACUUCAAACUCUGUAUCUAGUUCAAUGCCCGGUCUUCUUGGAGCCUUCUAUACGUCAUUACCUUAAGCUUCCUUAAACUUUUUACUUUCACAGAAAUUCUCACCACAGUGUGUUAUAGUCAUAAAUCUCUCCCAUUAGAGCAUGGCCACCUUGAGGUUUGGAUACCUUUUAAAAACUUAAUAAUCAUGUACUAUGCCUGGCUCAUAUAGCUCUUUUUAAUUUGGGGGGAUUUACUUAUUUUUAUUUUAUGUGUAUGGGUAUUUUGCUUGCAUGCAUAUCUGUGUACCACAUGUUUGCCAGACAAGGACAUUGAAUGCCCCGGAACUGGAAUUACAGACAGCGGUUAGCCACUGUGUGGGUGCUGGGGAUCAAACCUGGGUCCUCUGGAAGAGCAGUCAGUGCUUUUAACCACCAAACCAUCUCUCAAGCCAACCCAUAUAGUUCUUAUAUAUAACUUAAAGGAAAUUAAGUUAACAACAUCAUAUAAACAUAUAACAGUACACAUUAUGUCAAAGUGAUUUAUUACUUGUGUGCAGAUAUGUACGAGAAUGUGUGUGGUAUAUAUGUGGUGGCGGGAGUUACCUACCCAUGUUUACCUGUAGAGACCAGUGAAGGAAGGACAUUGGUGUUCUGGUCUGUCACUCCCUGCCUCUUCUCUGGCUUUCUUCUACAUCCCUCAGAAACCUGGAGUUAAGGGGUGUAUUUGUUUGCUUUUUCUUGCUGUGAUAAAUGCCAUGACCAAAAGCAGCUUGGGGAAGGAAAGGUUACAUUUCCAUGUCCACGGUGAGUCAUCAAGAGAAGCCAGGUGAGGAACUCAAGGUAGGAACCAAUAUAGGGACCAUUGAAAAAUGCUGCUUGCUCCCCCAUGGCUUUUUUCGUG